GACUCAACACGGGAAACCUCACCCGAUGAAGAACGCAGCUAGCUGCGAGAACUAAUGUGAAUUGCAGGACACAUUGAUCAUCGACACUUCGAACGCACUUUGCGGCCCCGGGUUCCUCCCGGGGCCACGCCUGUCUGAGGGUCG
rnacentral:rRNA from 1 species